AUCUAAAUACCUGUAAAUGGGUGCAAAUUUAAAAAGUUACCGUUUUGAAGUGAGUUAGCCGUGUUUGAAAGUUUUUACCUUUAACACAGAAAAAGACACUGGUGUUUCACGCUGUAUUUCAUAACCGAAAAUUAUUUUAAUGAUCUAAAUACCUGUAAAUGGGUGCAAAUUUAAAAAGUUACCGUUUUGAAGUGAGUUAGCCGUGUUUGAAAGUUUUUACCUUUAACACAGAAAAAGACACUGGUGUUUCACGCUGUAUUUCAUAACCGAAAAUUAUUUUAAUGAUCUAAAUACCUGUAAAUGGGUGCAAAUUUAAAAAGUUACCGUUUUGAAGUGAGUUAGCCGUGUUUGAAAGUUUUUACCUUUAACACAGAAAAAGACACUGGUGUUUCACGCUGUAUUUCAUAACCGAAAAUUAUUUUAAUGAUCUAAAUACCUGUAAAUGGGUGCAAAUUUAAAAAGUUACCGUUUUGAAGUGAGUUAGCCGUGUUUGAAAGUUUUUACCUUUAACACAGAAAAAGACACUGGUGUUUCACGCUGUAUUUCAUAACCGAAAAUUAUUUUAAUGAUCUAAAUACCUGUAAAUGGGUGCAAAUUUAAAAAGUUACCGUUUUGAAGUGAGUUAGCCGUGUUUGAAAGUUUUUACCUUUAACACAGAAAAAGACACUGGUGUUUCACGCUGUAUUUCAUAACCGAAAAUUAUUUUAAUGAUCUAAAUACCUGUAAAUGGGUGCAAAUUUAAAAAGUUACCGUUUUGAAGUGAGUUAGCCGUGUUUGAAAGUUUUUACCUUUAACACAGAAAAAGACACUGGUGUUUCACGCUGUAUUUCAUAACCGAAAAUUAUUUUAAUGAUCUAAAUACCUGUAAAUGGGUGCAAAUUUAAAAAGUUACCGUUUUGAAGUGAGUUAGCCGUGUUUGAAAGUUUUUACCUUUAACACAGAAAAAGACACUGGUGUUUCACGCUGUAUUUCAUAACCGAAAAUUAUUUUAAUGAUCUAAAUACCUGUAAAUGGGUGCAAAUUUAAAAAGUUACCGUUUUGAAGUGAGUUAGCCGUGUUUGAAAGUUUUUACCUUUAACACAGAAAAAGACACUGGUGUUUCACGCUGUAUUUCAUAACCGAAAAUUAUUUUAAUGAUCUAAAUACCUGUAAAUGGGUGCA